UACCCUCCUGCAUCUCCAACCAAAACCCUCAAAGGAUUCUGUGCCGGGAGAGCCAGUGGCCUAUACCCAGUGACUGGUGAAAAGAAUGCUUACUGGAACUGCUACAAUGGAAUCACCUACAAACAAUAUUGCUCAGCCGACCUUAUCUUUGACGUGAACUGUGAAUGCUGCAACUACCCUCCUGCAUCUCCAGCCAAAACCCUAAAAGGAUUCUGUGCCGGGAGAGCCAGUGGCCUAUACCCAGUGACUGGUGAACAGAAUGCUUACUGGAACUGCUACAAUGGAAUCACCUACAAACAAUAUUGCUCUGCCGACCUUAUCUUUGACGUGAACUGUGAAUGCUGCAACUACCCUCCGGCCAGUGACUAUGGUAGGGGUGAAGGUGAUUUUGUAUUUUAAGUUGCCAAAACCUGUGGCCUGUAUUGAUUGGCCAGAAACAAGACUGAUAGGCCAAGUGCAAAGGAGUGGAAUUAUCUACAAAUCUCUUUAUAUUGUUGACCCAAUUGACUUUAUUAACUCUGAGCUAUUUCCACUACAGCAUUACAGUAACCCA